AAAGGUCUAAACGGUAACUUUUGGAUCUGUUUUUAAAAGAUCUUGUGGGGGAGGGGCAAGUAUUGUAAAAAGAGAAAAUGUUGAAUAGAGGCACGGGAUUUAGACCCGACACCCCUUCCUCGUGUGCAUUUAGUAUCAAACCCUAGCCCUAAUUAUAAAGCCGCCAUGUACAUGAUGUUUAGCAACCGCCACACCCCUCCGUUCACUGUUCUGAUCAGGCAAGGCCGACUGCUGCCUCGACGUUGAGCACCGCCUGAGCAUACGUUGUUGUCGGAGGGCGUAGUGAGGAUCCUGAAGCUUGGAGCCAAAUUCGUACGCCACCGUCGCAGGAGACCAUGGUGGUUGGUGUGUUCGUGGUCGUCAUUGAAUCUAUUUCCAACUGUAAUGACUCCCUUCGCUUCUCUCUUCAUUUCUCGAGUCCCGUCGCCGUCGUAGCUCCGGACGUUUCUCCUGUCGUUGAGCUUUUUGGCUGCCAUCAGCCACCGCGAGGUACUUCUUAGAAUCACGGGAAGACGACAGUUUGAUUGUACACACGAGAUAAAGAGUUAUCUUUUGGAGGAAUCCUAGAUUAUUAAUCUGACUAUUAUGGAAUUGUGUUUUGUUAAUUGAUUAUUAGGAUUUUUGUGAAAUGUAUUAUGAGAAUUUUUGUAAUUUAAAAAUGUAAAUUUGUUUGAAA